GCGACAACCCAAAUCAUUCUCUAAAAGUCCCCUAUAUGAAUGCAUAAUAGAGAUACAAUCAGAGAUCAUUACAUUCAAUGAAAAUCAUAAGUGUUGACGAGGCAAUUAUAACUAUGAAUGCAUGAUACAAUUGCCAAGAAUUCAAUUAACGUGAUUGUGAUAAACAACCUUCACUACUCAUGAAUAUAAACUUGUAACGAUUAGGUGAAACUCAUUUAUAUUCUAGCAUCUAAUUAAUGCAUGAAAACUAAGUAUGCAUCCUUAAUAAACAUACAAGAAUCAGUUAUGAAAAAAAUAGAUAAUUGAAUUGCAAUCACAACUUAUCAAAUCACAAUUGGAAGAAAUCAAUUCAAAUCUCAA
rnacentral:lncRNA from 1 species